rnacentral:rRNA from 1 species
AUCCUGCGCCGAAGAUUUCCGGGGCUAAAACUUACUACCGAAGCUCCGGCAUCAGUAAUGAUGGGUAGGGGAGCUUCUCAUACGGGUUGAAGCAUGACCGUAAGGACAUGUGGACAGUCUGGGAGCGAGAAUGGUGGAAUGAGUAGCGAGAUGUGGGGGAGAAUCCCACAGGCCGUAAACCCAAGGUUUCCCGGGGAAGGUUCGUCCGCCCUGGGUUAGUCGGGAACUAAGCUGCGGCCGAAAGGCGUAGGGUAUGGGCGACAGGUUGAAAUUCCUGUACUACCGAUAACCGCUAGGGAGAAGGGAUCACACAGGAGGAUAAGCUAAGCACGAUGUUGGUUAUGGGUGCCCAAGCAUUGAGGCAGUCAACGUAGGCAAAUCCGCUUUGAUCAUGCUGGGAUGUGAUGGGGAGCGAAAUGUGU